rnacentral:rRNA from 1 species
GAUGAACGCUGGCGGCGUGCCUAAUACAUGCAAGUCGAGCGAACAGACGAGGAGCUUGCUCCUCUGACGUUAGCGGCGGACGGGUGAGUAACACGUGGAUAACCUACCUAUAAGACUGGGAUAACUUCGGGAAACCGGAGCUAAUACCGGAUAACAUGUUGAACCGCAUGGUUCAACAGUGAAAGACGGUCUUGCUGUCACUUAUAGAUGGAUCCGCGCCGCAUUAGCUAGUUGGUAAGGUAACGGCUUACCAAGGCAACGAUGCGUAGCCGACCGGAGGGGGUGAUCGGCCACACUGGAACUGAGACACGGUCCAGACUCCUAGGGGAGGCAGCAGUAGGGAAUCUUCCGCAAGGGGCGAAAGCCUGACGGAGCAACGCCGCGUGAGUGAAGAAGGUCUUCGGAUCGUAAAACUCUGUUAUUAGGGAAGAACAAAUGUGUAAGUAACUAUGCACGUCUUGACGGUACCUAAUCAGAAAGCCACGGCUAACUACGUG